AAUGAUUUAUGUUUUUUUUUUUUUUUUUUUUUUUUAACAGGAGUGUGUAGACUUUUUAUAUCCAUUGUAUAU